rnacentral:lncRNA from 1 species
CUUCCACCAGGAGAUGGAGAAUCCAAGGUAUGGAGAGGGACCACGCCCAUGCCAUGCCCAACAACCUGCUCAUGAUGGUCUCAGAUACAGAUUUAACCCUAAAGAGUUCUGGAAGGAACAUUACAAAGUCUUUUCCUGUGUGGGGUUGAGACUUCCUGGGCCAGUGUCUCUCUAAGGACACCGAGAUCUGCCUGUGUACAGGAGAGAGACUUUGAAAGCUGUGUAGAGGAGCCUGAACCUUCAGUGGACCAGCUUAAG